rnacentral:rRNA from 1 species
AUUGAACGCUGGCGGCAUGCCUUACACAUGCAAGUCGAACGGUAACAGGUCUUCGGAUGCUGACGAGUGGCGAACGGGUGAGUAAUACAUCGGAACGUGCCCGAUCGUGGGGGAUAACGAAGCGAAAGCUUUGCUAAUACCGCAUAAGAUCUACGGAUGAAAGCAGGGGACCGCAAGGCCUUGCGCGAACGGAGCGGCCGAUGGCAGAUUAGGUAGUUGGUGGGAUAAAAGCUUACCAAGCCGACGAUCUGUAGCUGGUCUGAGAGGACGACCAGCAACACUGGGACGGAGACACGGCCCAGACUCCUACGGGAGGCAGCAGUGGGGAAUUUUGGACAAUGGGCGAAAGCCUGAUCCAGCCAUGCCGCGUGCAGGAUGAAGGCCUUCGGGUUGUAAACUGCUUUUGUACGGAACGAAAAGACUCUUUCUAAUAAAGAGGGUCCAUGACGGUACCGUAAGAAUAAGCACCGGCUAACUACGUGCCAGCCGCCGCGGUAAGAC